rnacentral:hammerhead_ribozyme from 1 species
GCACUGCUGACGAGUCCCAAACAGGACGAAACCGAUGUGCAGUGC